CACUGGAAAAAUUAAACUUUAUGUGAUUUGGACAGCGUGAAGAAGUUAAGCACUGUAACAAAAACCUCCCUGAUGCUCACAAUGACUAUUUACAACAUUUGAAAAACAGCAGUGGAUUUGGGGGCUGGAGAAGUAUUAAUUAAUGAAACUGCCACUGGCUGUCAUGCUGAAAAGCAAAUUAAAAAAAAAAAAAAGGAAAGGUGAUGGGGAGAAAGAGGUGGCAUUCGGUGCUAUGGAAAGAUAUGCUUGAUGAAGGACUAAAGAGAAGACCAUCAUUCUGCAAUGGUUUGUUUCAUUACAGUUUGGGGACCACUUGCAUUUCUAGUGCUCUUGUUCUUCACUGCGCACCAUUAAUAGUAUGUGAAUAUGGAAAUUGAAACACUUCCAGAGAAACGCUUAUAUUCUGCUUUGGAAAAGAAAAGCUAGUUGAACACUAAAAAAAAAAACAAAAAAACCCAGGCUUUUGUGUUUUACUCUCAGGACCUUUUUUGUAACAGGGCUAUUUUCUUCAACCUGAUCACAAAGGAAGUCUUCACAUUUUUAACAGUUGUUAAGCUGUUUAAAGCCUCUGAUCUGUAUGUUUAGGAGUUGCUGAACAAGUUGGGACAGACCUAGCCUCUUAGGGAACUUUAUGCUCCUGUAUUUUUGUUCAGCAAGCCAGUUACCCUUCCUUUCUGGGCCUGGUGACAUUUUGAAAAGAUGAAUAACUUCUUUUGUGGUGGCAGGUUAAUGUUCAUAUGUGUCAUGUCUUGUACUUGGUGAUCACUGGUGGUGUUAGGAAAAAAAAAAGCUUUAUAUACCUCUUCUACAGUAACUCUUUUAAAUGCAAGUUUUCGAGGUGGGGGUUGUGGCACAUAACAGGUUGUUAAACCAUGCAGUGUAAGCAAUUAAAAAUGUAUUCCACAGAUAUAAAUAUUUUCUUUUCUUAUUGCUGUGACACUAUGUGUGAUGGUAAUAUUUCUGAGAGUUUCAGAUUUUGCACAUAUAAUUUUAUGCAUUAUCAAAAGUUACUGCUGCCUUGAAAGAAAAUGUUCUGUGAAAUUUUUUGCAAAAGCUUUACUAGGUUUUUUUUUAAUUGUAACAUUUUGUAAAGGCAGGAAACAGAUAAAAAAACUAGCAUGCUAAGUAUAUUUUUCAAAAAAGCAAUAAUUUUACAUGUACAGAAAUGAUGUUAACCUUUAAUACUGGUGAGAGCAACAGUUUACUUAAUACAAUAAUGGUAUAGUUCUGUUUUUUUGUAGCAAUGGGCUUCUGACAAAUUUGUGGGUAUUUUUUAGGAAAAAAACAAAGCGUGAUUUUUCUGUUCUAACCAUUUGGGGGGUUGUCUUUUUUUUUAAACCUAGUCAGUAAUUGGUUCUGAAUAUUACUUGUUACUUGUUAAAUAACUUAACAGUUUUUGUUAUGUUGCAACACUUGCAGCAAUGCAAAUGUAAUUUUCUUAUGUAAUUGUGGUUUUUUUACUAAUUUUUUUCCUCAUACUCUUACACCAGAUGUAUACCAGAAUUCGCUGUAGUCCUGGUGUAGUUAGGAAUGUCUGUGCAAAUACUUAUAAGUGACUGUAAUUGAUUGUUUUGUGAAGUUAUUUUGAAGGAAGUCACAUAGACACAUUCCACUGUACACCAAAAGAAAAAAAAAUCAAAUAUUUUGCUGUGUUGGUUAACAAUUGAUUAUGAUUUGGGUUUGCACUAGCAUUGACUUUUUUUUCUUUCUCCGAGUCAUAUUUUUGUUGGAUGAAAGUAACAGUGACAGUUCAGGAAUGCACAAAAGCUAGUUACUUAAUAGUUGCUUAGUUUAUUUGUUUGUGUUUUAGUUAUUAAAAACUCUUCUGUACCCAAAAUGGCACAAAAGCGUAGUGUACAUUUGUAACUCUUUAUUUUAUUUUAUUUAUUUAUUUUUUGCAGGCUGAUACAGAAAAUCCUAGUUAAUAUGUAGAACCAAAAGCUUUCUGGAAAGUUUCUUCCAGAAUAUCUCGCAGAGGAGAGGAUAGUGCUGUCACUGCCAUUACCAGGGUACUAAUCAGCAGUUUACAAUCAUAAUUUAGUGACAUGAAGAACAACAGUUGGAGAAAUCAGUUAAAAUAAUUAUAUGCUGUAUAUAGCACAGAAAUGAGAUUUUCACUUAAUUAAACAAGAAAUGGGGGUGGGUGGGGAAAACCAAUCUUAAAGCCUAGAUGUUUUUAGAUAUGAAUCUUCACCCUUCUUUUUUCUUCUUUCUCAUCAUGUAGUAUUGAUUUGUUAUUUCACUUAGACUAUAGUAUUUAAACUGAUUUGUGUUCCUUAUUUAUUUAGUCAAUGAGCUUUGAUCAGCAUUUUAAACAGUAUGAUAAUAUUUUUAGCAUGACACAGACACUCCUGUAAGCCAUUUUAUGACUGUUACAGGGACUUUCUACUACCUCUACCAAUCUGUUUCCUCUCCUUAACAGGUUUUUUACAGUGUUGCAGUCUGAUGUAACAUAGACAAUAAAGGGUUUGAUUAUCCACACUGCAGAUUCUCAGUGUAUCUGCCAUCCUUCUCUCUUUCUCUCUCUUUCCCUCUCUCUCCCUCUCUCUCUUUCUUUCUUUCCUCCCCCCUAUCCCCCCUGCCUUCUCUUUACUUUUUGUUACAGCUGAAGAGCAAAUGCAAGAAAGACCUUCUUUGGCCAGAAUAUCUAUAAUGACGAUUUUACAUUGACCAAAAUUAAGAGUCAAAAUAACUUCUUUUUUAUAGGUACACUUAGAUUAUACUAGGUAAUCUACUCGUAUAAUGUCAUUUUCCUGUUUGUAUUCUUGGACUUGUGUCAAAAAAUGUGUGAAUAAAUUCUUGCAUGCUAAAAACGGAAAGCAAAUUAGGAGGCCAAAACAGAUUUCAGUUUUGUAUUUGGAACCACUUGAAGUACCUAGUGAAAAGCUUCAACACAGAUUGCCGCCCCCACCCUGUGGAAGACGCUGCUUACAUGAAAAUAGCUAGUUAAAAGGAAUUAUCCUCUAGAAAGUAUUUUCUUGUAUUUGUGUGAAGAAAUGUUGUUCUUCUCUUAACUAGCUGUCAGUUAAAAUCUGUCUCUGGAGUGGUUUCCAGGCUUUGAUAAUGUGUAUCUUUCCUGGUAGUCUGCAUAAACCUGAUGUCUUCUAGCACGACUUUGCACUGUAUGCAGUUCUUCAAUAUUUUGGAAUGCACAUAUACAUUUUUUACAUGCAGUACUUUGGAAUGUAUUUUUUAUUUUGGGCAAGUUUGUGAUUAAGGGGUUCAGUAUUAGUUUUUCAUGGGGUUCAUGCUUUCAGCUAUAAAAACAUCUAUGCAGCUGUAUGAAGUUAUAAGAAUGCUUUGGCAUAUUAAUAAUUUUUCUUUGGUGAUUCCCACAUAAAAGCUGUGCUUCAGUUAGUCUGGUGAGACUCACUAGAAUACAUAGUCUGAAGCAAGAAAACUGUUAGUGAUUCUAUCUCUGCUGUGUUAAGCUAUUGGAUUGCAAGUAGCAUUUCCCCCUCCCCUCACCAAAAAGCAAACCAACCUAAAGGCAGACUGUGAAAAAGGAAGUGGUAGGUGGAUGGGGUAAGAUCUGCAUGUCAUUAUGUUAACACAAACAUGCAGUGUUUAAAUUCGGGGGGGAGGGAGAUCCCAUUUUUUUGUUCCCAGGCUUUUUACUGUCAAACAGACAAAAAGAUAAACAUGGCUUUUCCAAAUUGAAUAUAAAUAUCAACCUGGACCUGAGAUGCAUGCAUGGGGCUAGAAAUGAGGAAGAAUCAAAGAUAAUCCCCAAAGGUUGAUCCUGAGUAGUAAGGGGGAUCUUGGUGAUAGCGUCAAGGAAGAGAAUAACAGAAUGGAUUUGAGAGAGUAAGGAGUGUAGUUUUGGCCACACUAGAUUUAAUGUUAUGGUAAGACUACCAAGAGGAGAUGUCCAAAGGAUAGACCAAAAUCCAGAAUUAGGUAGGCAUGAAUUAGAAGCAGAUGGGUAGAUUUUGAGGAGAAUCAUAAGCAAAAUUUAGGAUGGAGAGGAUGUCCAGGAGAAAGUUAUAGUAAUCAAGCAUGAAAAAAAUAGAAUAAGAAGGAUAAGGAAGAAAGAGAUCAUGAAAUUUAUCUAGAAGAGGUGUGUCUUCUAACUUCAAGGAAACAUAAUUUGGAAGCUUCGGGAAGCAUCAGAUAAUUUUAAAGUAGGCAUGUCAUCUUAUUUUUCCAGAAAGGUCUCUCAUUGCUUACAUAUUUAUUACGCUGUGACAGAAAAUGAGGCAUACCUAUGGGGCCCUCACUUGCUCAACAAACUUAAAACAUAUUGCUAUGGGUCACUAGGGAAAGUUUGGUGUGUUCGUGGUAGCUGGAUCGAAAGACCCCUCCAAUUUCCCCAAAGUUUCUAAACUUAUAUUGCUUCUCUUCAAGUAACAAGUAGACUCUUGUGGUCCAGAAAAAAAAUGGUGGAUCACUGUAGAGGGGAUAAUAUAGAUAAAGUAGAUGUUGCACUGCGUUAAUUCUUUGCAAUUGCUGAAGGAUGUAUUCUGUUAAUACCCUCCAGUAUACUGUAUCUUAAAGUUGUAUUGUAGUGUGUUGGAAGCAACUACAUGAAUGCCCCAAGCCUUUAAGAGAAUACAUAAAAUAGUAAAAUGGCUUAAGAAGCUUAUUAUUUCCUUGAAAUCCUUUCUACCAUUAAUGUACAUUAUGGUAGCUGGAGGAGCAGCAGGGAAGGUUUUAUGUUUGUGCUUUGGGGAGGUGUGGCUAUCAUCCAUAUUAACCACAAAGGAGAGAUACUCUUGCAAGAGUUCAGAAAAUGUGAGAUACCCAUUUACUUGUUUUACAAGUCAAGGUCACGAGACGUUAACAUUUCAUUAAAUCAUCAGUCCCCUCAUUUUGCCAUGGAAGUUCUGCAAGGGAAGAAAGAUGGAUCUAGGCUGAGGAAAAGUAUCUAUUAGUCUUCUAAAUACUCCAUUCUCUUUUUAUGAGGCAAGAGGAAAUGGGACAUGGUCCUUCAACUCUACACCCACAGUGCAACAGCAAUCCCUGAAAGCAGAAAUCUGGUUUACCUGGGAGUGGCUUCAAGCAGUUGAGGAGCCAUUUUGGAAGACUCUUGGGAAGAGCAAGCCAUUUUUUGAAGAAGGGGGUAUUGAGUCCAAGAGCUAUCAAGUCUUGAAUAUGCCAGCAUGCCUUGCAUGUGCAGUCACAUUCUGAGGUAUGUCUUUGAACUCUUCAGUGGUACUUUGCAUUUCUUUGAGACCUUUUAUGGGGAAGAAGUGGACUAAAAUGCUGUGAGGUUGUCUCAUUAUUUCUCUUCUAUUAAAGAAAAGAGUUAGUUCUGGUUAGACAGGGAGACCUCCGUUACAUAGUAUAUUCAGCAUCUACUGUGGAUUGCUCCAUACUGUUGUUUGCAGACAGCAUGGGGUAUAGCUUAGCAAUUUAAAAUAGCCAAGGCAAUACUUCUGUACAUCUCCUUUGAAUAAAGAAAUGAUCACCAUUACUAACCAUUACUUUGAAAACAGGUUAACUUGGUUUCUAACUGAUAGUUCACCUUCCAUCUUUCAUCUCCCCCCUGCUUUAUACUAGAUUUCUGAAAUAUAUAUUUCAGAAAU